AGAGGAACUUGUCUUUUAUCUCCAGCACCUUCCCCAGGACCUCGGAGGACACAGCCAGCUCCUGCACCAUCACACCACCCCGAUGCGCGGCAGGAAGCUGUUCCCCACACUGAGUAGGUGGCACAAGGAGACCUUUUCAUCACAUCUUCUGCCCCGAGACCUCUGUGGGCUCGUGGCACAGAAAGCAGAAGCUGCACACCUAGAAACCCCAGAAGGUGGCUCAGUUCUCUCGGCUCCAGCAGAAGGAACACCAUCAGGGAAAGCUGGCAAUCUGGCUGGGACUGAUUUUUAGGGACUCCCUUUGCUCCUGGGCUGCCCCAGCACCGGGGCUGCUCCCUCCCCACACCCAAGGACGGGGCCAGCUGGAGCCUGUGCAGGGGAGGGGGGAGCCUGAACGUGCGCACCCAUCGUCCCUAAUAAUGGAAAAAAUCUGCAACUGCAGCCAGUAAUGACUCUCACUGCCGUGCAACUGCACACGGUGGGAGAGGCUCCAGCAGACCCUCCUGAAAUCUUUUUUGCAUGACGAAAACUCCAGGAGAGAGGAGCCCUUCUGCGAGAGACGGGGAGGGCUCUGCCACGUGCAGCCAGACCAAAGCAGGACCACGG
rnacentral:lncRNA from 1 species